rnacentral:sRNA from 1 species
GUCACUGACCCCCGACUAAAGUACGUGGGCUUGCCUGGUCUCAGCCAGGAGCUAAGGAGUGACUAGACCAUGAGCUACAGACAGUUUCGUACUUCCGGGUAUUUCCCUAGCUCGGAUAAUCUACAAGCCUUCUGAGAGAAGGCGUGGGGUAAAGCCCAGAAAUGCUGACUGUAGUGGUCUUAGGGACAUACAACUCGAAAGAG